GACGAACGCUGGCGGCGUGCCUAAUACAUGCAAGUAGAACGCACAGUUUAUACCGUAGCUUGCUACACCAUAAACUGUGAGUUGCGAACGGGUGAGUAACGCGUAGGUAACCUGCCUGGUAUCGGGAGAUAACUAUUGGAAACGAUAGCUAAUACCGCAUAAUAUUGAUUAUUGCAUGAUAAUUGAUUGAAAGAUGCUAUUGCAUCACUACCAGAUGGACCUGCGUUGUAUUAGCUAGUAGGUGAGGUAACGGCUCACCUAGGCGACGAUACAUAGCCGACCUGAGAGGGUGAUCGGCCACACUGGGACUGAGACACGGCCCAGACUCCUACGGGAGGCAGCAGUAGGGAAUCUUCGGCAAUGGACGAAAGUCUGACCGAGCAACGCCGCGUGAGUGAAGAAGGUUUUCGGAUCGUAAAGCUCUGUUGUAAGAGAAGAACGGGUGUGAGAGUGGAAAGUUCACACUGUGACGGUAUCUUACCAGAAAGGGACGGCUAACUACGUG
rnacentral:rRNA from 1 species